AUUGAACGCUGGCGGCAUGCCUAACACCUGAAAGUCGAACGGCAGCAUGAUUUGUAGCAAUACGAAUUGAUGGCGAGUGGCGGACGGGUGAGUAAUACGUAGGAAUCUACCCUAAAGCGGGGGAUAACCCGGGGAAACCCGGGCUAAUACCGCAUACUACUCUGAGGAGGAAAGCUUGGUUUACCAGGCACUUUAGGAGGAGCCUACGACUGAUUAGCUAGUUGGUGAGGUAAAGGCUCACCAAGGCGAUGAUCGGUAGCUGGUCUGAGAGGAUGACCAGCCACACUGGGACUGAGACACGGCCCAGACUCCUACGGGAGGCAGCAGUGGGGAAUCUUGAGCAAUGGGGGCAACCCUGAUCCAGCGGUGCGGCGUGUGUGAAGAAGGCCUUCGGGUUGUAAAGCACUUUAGGUGGGGAAGAAGGUAAGUAUGUUAAUAGUCUAUUUGCUUUACGGUACCCGCAGAAUAAGCACCGGCUAACUCUGUGCCAGCAGCCGCCGUAA
rnacentral:rRNA from 1 species